UACAAACCAGACUGGCUGGGCUUCCC
rnacentral:piRNA from 1 species